ACCCUCUCAGGGUCGUAUCUGAAGGGUUUCCGGAAUCCUACCAGUCUCAGCUAUGGGAGGGAGAGUCAAGCAGAGUCACACCCCUUCCAUUCCUAGCUUGGGCAGUGGCUAGUGAGUGGAAGGCAAUCUGCUAGAUAG